CCUACGGGUGGCAGCAGUGGGGGAUAUUGCACAAUGGGGGAAACCCUGAUGCAGCGACGCCGCGUGGGCGAAGAAGUAUUUCGGUAUGUAAAGCCCUAUCAGCAGGGAAGAAGAAAUGACGGUACUUGCGUAAGAAGCACCGGCUAAAUACGUGCCAGCAGCCGCGGUAAUACGAAGGGGGCAAGCGUUAGCCGGAUUUACUGGGUGUAAAGGGAGCGCAGGCGGCACGGCAAGCCUGAUGUGAAAGCCCGGGGCCCAACCGCGGGACUGCCUUGGGAACGACCGGGCUGGAGUGCCGGAGGGGUAGGCGGAAUUCCUGGUGUAGCGGUGAAAUGCGUAGAUAUUAGGAGGAACACCAGUGGCGAAGGCGGCCUGCUGGACGGUGACUGACGCUGAGGCUCGAAAGCGUGGGGAGCGAACAGGAUUAGAUACCCCUGUAGUC
rnacentral:rRNA from 1 species